CAUGUAUAAAUUUCUUGAAUUUUACUCUUUUGUUUUAUAUAGGAAUUUAAAUUCACUUCUUCUCGUAUCCACUUCUGCUUCUGCUUAUUUGAUCUAGCUUUAAGUCUGAAUAAAAAAGAAAAAAAAAGAAGGAGAGAGAACAAAGUGGAGAAGUGUACCCCAAUAAGUUUUAUCUUCCAAUUCCCAAAUCCUGUAAUUUUAUAGUAAAUUAUGGAAACUAAAACCCUAUACAUACCUUGCAAAUUUUGACUUAGCAUUGUCAACUACGUCAAUUUUUUGGUAGAUGCAUUGUAUGGUUCCUGGAUUGCCUUUUAUGGUUAACUGAUGUGUUUGGCAAACAGAUCAUUUAAAUAGUAUCAUUUCAUUGUGGAAUGGGAGUGGGACUCGUGCAAAUGAAUAAGGAUCCUGGCAGCAAACAUGUCAAUGUGGUAGGUACACUUGUGGGAUAUUGAGCAAGAAAGCUGGUGGUUGAACCAAAAAACAGGCCAGUCUAAUUAUUAGAUUGCAGGGUGUAUGGUUGCUCUACUGGUAGUGGCUUCUACUCUGCUGGCAGCAGUGGCCAUUCUACUUUGUGAUUUUGACCAUAUCAAUAAGUUUUGGUACUACACAAAGAAAGCCCAAUUUUGUUCCAUUUAAUGAGGAAUUGAUGAAAUCGACUCGAGGUAUUUCAUAUGUCCUAUGUUU